rnacentral:rRNA from 1 species
UGGGGAAUUGUUCGCAAUGGGCGCAAGCCUGACGACGCAACGCCGCGUGUGGGAUGAAGGUCUUCGGAUUGUAAACCACUGUCGCGAGGGACGAAGCUCUGACGGUACCUCGAAAGGAAGCACCGGCUAACUCUGUGCCAGCAGCCGCGGUAAUACAGAGGGUGCGAGCGUUGUCCGGAAUCACUGGGCGUAAAGGGCGCGUAGGCGGCCCGGUAAGUAGGGGGUGAAAUCUCAUGGCUCAACUGUGAGGCUGCCUUCUAGACUGCCAGGCUUGAGCACAGUAGAGGCGAGUGGAAUUCCGAGUGUAGAGGUGAAAUUCGUAGAUAUUCGGAAGAACACCAGUGGCGAAGGCGACUCGCUGGACAAGUAUUGACGCUGAGGUACGAAAGCGUGGGGAGCAAACAGGAUUAGAUACCCAGGUAGUCCCUGAGCGGGCUGGCAAGGCGCAU